rnacentral:lncRNA from 1 species
GAGAAAUGGAAGACAGAGACUGGUCAUUUUUAUGAGGUGUAUGACGUAUUGUACUAAUUCCACCGCAAUGUAAACUGUCCUGGCUCUUCAGUUCAGAGUCUUCUAAUCAUUGCUUUGCUGUAACUUUGUGGUUUUAUUUCUGUUUUUGUCUGAAACCAGAAAGUCCUUUGCUGUUUCCUUAUUACCCUCGAAAAUCAUUACAUUUUGUGAAAAGAAGGAUGGAGAAGAUUAUUGAUCAGUGUUUGCAAAAGCCAGCAGAUGUAAUUGGAAGAUCGAUGAAUCAAGCAAUCUGUAUUCCGUUAUAUAGAGAUGCUAGGAGGUAAUUCUCUUUACCUGUGUGUGCUGUAAAUUUAGCUGGAAUUAAAAUUUUUCUCAU